rnacentral:lncRNA from 1 species
UUGGGGGCACAUAUGGACGCUGUAUGGCCUCUCCUCCCAUCCGAUCUGAGUGUAACUGGGCCUUUGACUUUGCUCAUGUUAGGGCGAGGUUCUCCUCCUGUCCCUAACAUGGCUGUGGGGGCACAUGUGGGUGCUGUUUGGCCUCUCCCCCCAUCCGGUCUAAGAGGAACCGGGCCUUCGACUUUGCUCAUGUUAGGGUGAGGUUCUCCUCCUGUCCCUAACAU